rnacentral:rRNA from 1 species
GUGGGGAAUAUUGGACAAUGGGCGCAAGCCUGAUCCAGCCAUGCCGCGUGAGUGAUGAAGGCCCUAGGGUUGUAAAGCUCUUUCACCGGAGAAGAUAAUGACGGUAUCCGGAGAAGAAGCCCCGGCUAACUUCGUGCCAGCAGCCGCGGUAAUACGAAGGGGGCUAGCGUUGUUCGGAAUUCCUGGGCGUAAAGCGCACGUAGGCGGACAUUUAAGUCAGGGGUGAACUCCCGGGGCUCAACCCCGGAACUGCCUUUGAAACUCCCGAUCUUGAGGUCGAGAGAGGUGAGUGGAAUUCCGAGUGUAGAGGUGAAAUUCGUAGAUAGUCGGAGGAACACCAGUGGCGAAGGCGGCUCACUGGCUCGAUACUGACGCUGAGGUGCGAAAGCGUGGGGAGCAAACAGGAUUAGAUACCCUUGUAGUCC